UCUGUGUGCCAUGGGGGCAGCUCACAGGCUGCUGUUUAAAUCAUGGGCCCUGCCCUGUCAGCUGGAGCCAGCAGACAGGAAUCCUCUGGCUCAGCACAGCCUGCAGCUCCCACCCAGGUGUCAUUCGCCCCUAGAUUUCACAGGCCAUGUGUAAGGGGACUGUUGGCUCCUUACUAAAACUCGGUGGGGGUGUUUCAGUUGGCUAGCUCCCAGGACCAGAAGGAAGGGGAAGGAUUGAUAGGAAAGCAGGACCCUGAGACUGACAGUCCCCAGGAACAAUGGGGAGAGGCCAAUGCCCCAAGUCAGCCUGACUGACAGGGCGGGCAGGCUAAUCAGGGAGUCAGGAGGACAAGGUGGGUCCUGUCCUCCCUGUGAGCUGGAUUGCCUGGGUCAGACAGAGUGGGGCCGAGCUACGGAGAGAGCAGGGGCCUGAGCUGAGCUGCGGAGCAGAGCCGCGCCAGAUCCAGAGAGAACCAGAGCAGCAGCCCGGGGGAGCAGCUAAUGGAUUUGUUCCUCAGUGGAUUCUCUGGAUGUUGAAAUCUUUAUUCAGCUCGCUGCUGGUGUGUGCGCGUUUGUGGGUAUCUGAGUCUGUUCCAUCCACCCUGUGUACAGCUGCUCUUGACCCUGUUUGAAGGUGCUGUAUUGAGAAUUGACAAUGAAAAUAUGUCUGUCACUACUGUGAAUGUAAAACUGUCUCUACUGAAAAGUAAAUACAUUCAAAAUUUCUAUCACACCCUUUCAAUGAGUAAAAGAUGGAGUGGGUGUGUGCAUGUGUGUGCACAGAGUUUCAGAAUUACCACUGCAAGAAAUAUGGGUCUCUUCUGCUCGGUUAUCACAGGACUGCUGUUUCCAUAUGCCUGAUGGGCACUGCCAAAGGGACCUGUGCUGCUCACUGCAUGCAACAUGGUCCAGCCACGUGGGACCAGAACCUGCUCCAUAUGCAAAGUCUCUUGCAACCUGCCCUCCAUCCCCACAGUUCAGCUGUUUGCAGACAAUUGCUGGGGUGACUCCAGACAUCUGAUUGGAGCAAACACUGCCCCACGUCCCAUUGUAGAAAACCUCCAGCCGCCCAGCACAAUCACUGUCGCUCACCAGCCUCAAAUCCAUGAAUUCUAGAAGGAAGUGCACAAAAAGGGAAUUUAAAUCGUCUGAUUCUGAAAUGAACUGGGGUGAAGAGUGAAAUCCCAGCGAUUGCUCAACCCAAAAGUAUAGCCACAUCAUUCUGCAGGAGCAAGUGCAGAGAGAAUCACUCUAAGAAUGAGAGACUCUCCUGGACACCAUGGGACUAUUAGAAAUACAAUGGUCACCUCUGAAAAGUCACCAGUUCCCAGCAGUUACACACACAGACACCUGCAAUACAGCAGUGACUGCCCUGCCAACACUAGAGAAAUGCUGCGAUAUCUCCAAUACUCCUGGGUGGGAACCGAUGGGAAAUGGUGACUUUCUAAUCAUGACCCCAGUUGGUAGGUAGAAGAGUAGAGUGACCAUAUUUUCUCAAAGGGAAAAUGGAACACCCCACGGGGGGCCCAACCCCCAAACCUCCCUUCCUCUCCCCCCCACACAGGUGGGGCCAGCCUGAGACCUACCCUACCUCCCACCUACACAGGGACAGCCUGAGGUUCCCCUAUCCCCUCAGCACGUGGGCCAGCCUGAGCCCCCCCUGCCACCCAGCCUCACUCUGCUAGGGGGCGCAUCCCACUUUUUUGGCAAAACUGUGUAUGUGUCCAAUUUGCUCUUCCCAACUCGUGAUCCGUUGGCAAGAGGAAACGAGAGAAAUGCCCAGUUUUGCCAAAACAGUCGGGACGGCCAGGGCAGGCUUAAAAAAGAGAGUGUCCUGGCCAAAACGCACUGUAUGGGCACCCUAUAGAAAAGACAGUGAGGGAGAGGCUCUAUCAUCCUCAGCUCUCUCCUCAAAUGUCUGCCCCCUCCAGUAAAUCCCCUGGUAACCAGGCUCACGUGAGCAUUCCCAGACCAGACCUGAGCAGAGAACUCCUGCGUCCUCCUUGUGUCUGCAGUUGUGCUGACCCCAGCCCCUGGAAGGACAGUCCGAAAGAUCGGAUUCGUUCCCAGAGCAGUUCACAUCAUCCAGCCAGAUCUGCCCGGAUCCUUCCCCGUAAUGAGCACAGACAGUUGCAUUGAUGGCGCGUCCACAUCCCAGUUGUUUGCAAACGACAUCGGAGUCUGACAGAUCCCAGAAAUCAUCACAGACUGUCCCCCAGCUGCCAUUAUAAUAAAUCUCCACUCUCCCAGCACAGCGACCUGCCCCAUUCACCAGUCUGAUCCGCCUGCUUCCUGCAGGGAUAGAUCCCAGCUGUUAAUAUGCAAUAUGAUGAUUAUUAAAUAGCUUCCAUGCAAAUCAAUGAUGAUGCUACAAUGGCUGAGAUAUUGAAAUGCUUUUUAAAAUCUGUCUUUAACAAGAAACACAGAAACGGAGAAAAGCUGAGUAAGGAAAUGAGGAAUACUUCUUACAGAGCACUAUUGAUAAACAGCAUGUGAGUGUAAGGGCCUAAUUCUGAAUUCCUUACUCAUCGGAGUAGUCCUUAAGGGACUCGUCACAUGGGUCAGAGCUAUUUGUGAGACUAAGGGUUAGCGGAAACAGCCCUUACUCAAAAUCUUGAAUAUUCUCAAACAACUCUUAAAUGAUAAGCAUCAAGGUGUUCAAGGAAUUAUUAGGCAAUUAAUUUACCCAAAACCAAAUAUUCUUUUCAAUUGUUACAGAAUGGGGAGGGGGUGACACUGGCUGACCAGGUCAUGCUAGAGUGUAGUUAGAUCCGUUCACUUGUGUAGAUUAAAGUAAUGGUUAGAUGUAUACGUGUGUAUUCAGAUGUUUAAACUUUAUGAAAACCAGUGGAAUGUUAUGGGUAUUGUUUUUGCGUGUCUAUUGCUGUCAUAAUGUAAUGCCAAACAUUUACAUGAUAAAUACACUUGUAGCUAAAUAACACAUCAAAUAAAUUUUGUGAAAUGCUAAGGAUUUAAGGACUUUAACAGAAAAUGCUAAUUUCAAAGGAAAUAGCCAUUAUGAAUAAGGUCUGAGGUCAAAAAUCUAAGUGCAUUUCUCACUCCCUGUCAUCAAAGGAAAAGCCCACAUGGGUAGAUUGUCAGCUUGUUUUCUGUGAGCUUAUGUUCUUAUGUGAGAAGAAGAUAUAAAUAUGGAUUCAAAGAAAGAUCCUGUAUCUCUGGACUGUUUGGAUUCUAACAGAGAAGAAUAACUGAAUGAGAAGACAGAGAUCCCCAGAGUUAUUCUGGGUAGCCCUGUGUGAUGGGGUGAGCUCCCCACACUAGCCCUGUAAGAGCUGGGUUGGGCCAGGUGGGCCCAAUCAGCUAAUUAUGCUGCAAAGGGUGGAGGUUUAGGCCGGAAUCAGCUGGUUAGAGAGAGUCUCACCUAUUCAGGAACAGGUGGGACCUAUAAAGCCAGGAAGGUGGCUCCGGGUUGGGGCUGUUGGGAACGACUGCAGUAAGGCAGACAGCAGUCAUGCCCUGGGAAGAGGGAGGAGUGUUUGGGGGCUGCAGGGAGACAGUCUGUAGUUAUUCCCUGGGAGGAGGAUUCUUGGGGCUGGCACACCCAGAGUGAGGAGGGGAACCAGAGUAUAGGAAGCAGUCAUACAAUCAUAGAAGAUUAGGGUUGGAGGCCAUCUAGUCCAACACCCUGCUCAAAGCAGGACCAACCCCAACUAAAUCAGUCCAGGGAAGGAGCAGUGUGGGCAGAGGGAGGAAGCCCAGAACUGCUGAGCUGUCCCUGGACUGGAUCCCAGAAAAGAGGGCAGGCCUGGGUUCCCCUACUCAGCCACUGAGGGAGUGGCACCAGGGCAGUGAAUGGGAAGAUGGCCUAGGACUGUUGAUGGACUGAAUCCCGUCAGGGGGAACACUGAGUGACCUAGCUGGAGGGCUAAGUCACAAAGAGGAUGCUGCAGGUCCUGGAGCAAGAGGCGCUGCAGACCAGAGUGAGAGUGAUGGUGUGCAAACUGUGGAUGGGCGUUGGCCUCGAGAGCUAAUCCCCAGAGUGACCAGGAGGAGAUGCCAGACUGGCAGUGAGUGGAGUACCUCAUGACACCCUGUAAAAGACUUUGGGGAAACUGACAGUUUAUUACAUCACUGCCACCAUUUGGAGUUACAAACUGAUUUCCCUGUUGUUAUAUUUUACCUGCUAUAGCCUCUCAAUAACCCUCCUUCUUUCUUCUUAGCUAAUAAACCUUUAGUUAUUUACUAUAGAA